UGGGGAAUUUUGGACAAUGGGCGAAAGCCUGAUCCAGCAAUGCCGCGUGUGUGAAGAAGGCCUUCGGGUUGUAAAGCACUUUUGUCCGGAAAGAAAUGGCUCUGGUUAAUACCUGGGGUCGAUGACGGUACCGGAAGAAUAAGGACCGGCUAACUACGUGCCAGCAGCCGCGGUAAUACGUAGGGUCCAAGCGUUAAUCGGAAUUACUGGGCGUAAAGCGUGCGCAGGCGGUUGUGCAAGACCGAUGUGAAAUCCCCGAGCUUAACUUGGGAAUUGCAUUGGUGACUGCACGGCUAGAGUGUGUCAGAGGGGGGUAGAAUUCCACGUGUAGCAGUGAAAUGCGUAGAGAUGUGGAGGAAUACCGAUGGGCGAAGGCAGCCCCCUGGGAUAACACUGACGCUCAUGCACGAAAGCGUGGGGAGCAAACAGGAUUAGAUACCCUGGUAGUCCACGCCCUAAACGAUGU
rnacentral:rRNA from 1 species